rnacentral:lncRNA from 1 species
AUAAGAUUUGUGUAGACUAUUUUAUUAUAUAUUCAUGAUUGAAUCCACAACAUAAAAAUGGUUUUUACUCUAUGCAACAGAUUCUCUCUUAGAAGUCUAAAAGAGAAUGUGGGCUAUAAAAUUAAAAGAUGCCAUACCAGAGAAGUAUGAGCCUAAAAGAUGCCAUACCAAAAGGGUAUGUGCCAAAUUAAAAAGAAAGAGAGCAAAACAAUGGGUGGAAAGACACCCGCCUGAGAGGAAA